CCGGCCCUCGCGUCGUCCCCUUGGGCGACUCGGGGGCGACUAGGGUUCCGCCGCCGCCGCCACCCCCCUACACCCCUCCCCCCCUUGCCGCUACCAGAGACGGCCGCCGGGAAGCCCGCCGGACGCCGGUGAAGGUGCCGGCGGGGAUCUCGGUGCUCCUCCCCCUCUUGGAGGCACGUGGUUCCUGGGGCGGCGGCCCUUGCCGGAGAGGCGACGUCGUCGGGCGGUGGGCGGCGUUCGCAGGGGGUGUUGCUCAAUGUGCCCGGCCACGCGGGCGGCGGGUGGCUGGUGGAAUCCGGCCGCGGUGAGAUGCUUUCUUCGUCAGAUCUGGAGGUGCGAAAUCCCUAUUCCCUGCUGCCUCUCUCUCGCCUCCAGUGUGGGCUAGCGUUUUCUGGCUCCGGCGUUGGUGCGUGUUGGUGGUCAGCUAGGGCACCGGGGGAAACCUUGGCCGGUCCGGCAGGCCCGGCGGCGACAACGCCCAAGGGCGCUGCUUUCCUCCAUGGGGGCGCAGCCGAGGUCCCCUGCUUUCCACCCCGAUCCCCCUGCCCGGGUGAAAACCUUUAUCCUCGGCGGAUUUAGCGGCGGCGGCGCCUUGUGCGUCGUGAUCUUGCUGGAGGCAUCGUCAAGGGUGCGGGGCUCGGUCGGGAGGUUAUGCAGGUGAGGGAUUGAGCUACCUCCUCUGCGUCGUCCGAUUCCUUGAAGCUUGUCUCCAACUAGUUGGGCAUGGACUAUGGCGGAGCAGCCGGCGAGAUAUAUCCCAAAUCGAUGUGGUCAUCCUAGGUCCACCUUGCGAUGCGAGGGCGACAUUCUUCCAGAUCUAGGGUGAGCUUCUCGAAAUCCCAAUGGUGCGGCGCCUACGAGCCAUGGCGAGGGGGAAGGGUCCCUCUUCGGUGAUUGAGAGGGAAGAUGUUUGGUUCCUUUCUUCUCUAGGUGUUCCUGGAGCACGGUCCAUCCUCGAAGGUCGGCUAUGUCCUGCUGUGCUGCUCCGUUUCUGCUACAUAUGAUCCUAGUGUGGAGUGCUCGGCCUUUGCUAGCUGCAAUUCAUUUGCGGCGGCUUGUGGAGGUUGUAGUGAGUAGGCUUUCCAGUGUUCCCCGUUGUAUCGUUCUGACCGUUGUAAGUUGGGUUGUCUGUUGUAACUCCUGGCCGGUUGAUAGCUUUGUUAAUUCAAAGUCGGGCUCUUCGCGAGCCUUCGUUCUAAAAAAAAUUUGUUGUUGCCCAAUCAAAUAUCUUAGGUUUUCACCCUGGAGAAAGUCCGAGUUCACCCAAAAACAAUGCCUUCAACAAGGCCAUUGCCAGGUACAACCAAUUAAGGCCGGACCUUAGGUUUCCACCCUAGGAAUGGAGACUCGAUACUCGAGGAGCACCACAAAAAAUGUAGUCCUCCAGUGAUGUCGCCCCUGCUUGCCGAGGCCGUUGUUACAAGUCACCAAACACCUGGCACACUGUUGAGUGAUAUUUUUAUACUUAUCUACCCUUUGUUUAAACUGAGAUAUUCGCUCCAUAUUGUCACUAAUGACUAAUUAAUACAUAUAUUCCAUAAAUCCUCUCUUUAUUGUGUUUCUAUAGGAAAUGGGCUAAAUAUGGACAAAAUCAAGUGAGAACAUUGAAAUGAGUGAAGGAGGAGAUAGAAGAAAUCAGGAGGAGGCGCACCAGAAGGCACCGAGCAAAAGAUGGUGUUUCAUGCGACCGCUCGCAUGAGCGGUCGUAUGGCAUGGAACCGAGGCCUCUCAUCCACCUGCACAACUUUUAUAAAGGGGUUGAGGCCGAAUUGUCAACAAAACAUCCACGAGCGAAGCCAGGACAGAGUCAUCCUCAUCCAUCUCCAUCAACCCUAGCCACCUCCAUUUCCAUAUCCAUAGCCACCAUCACCACCAUAGUUCUUCUUCCACUAUAUCAUACUUGUAGUCGUGCAUCGCACACAGCAUCCAUUGUAAGACAUAUUAUUAAUCAAUCCAUAUUCAUGAUGUGUUCUUCAA
rnacentral:lncRNA from 1 species